AUAUGGAAGAUUAAGAAUGUUCUGAUGUUUGGCUCUGGAGUCCAAGGCUGAAGCUGUUAACACUACUUUUCCUGCUGUCUUUAUGGUAUCAGGAGCCAUCCAACAAAAUCUUCUUAUAAGUUCCUGCUCCAAUCUCUACAUUGAUAUCGUUAUUGGACAUCUACAGUCUUGUUAAGGAUGUCAGAAGAAACCAGAGUACCAGGAAGAAACCCAUGCAGACACAGUGAAAGUGCAAACUUCACCCAGACAGCACUGGACGUCAGGAUUGAAUCUGGGUUUUUGGAACUGUGAGUUCGUUUUUUUACAGUGGAAUGAAGAAGUACAUUAGAAUCAAUGAAAAACUACACACAAAGACUGACAAACAAGCAAUGCGCAAAAGAAGACAAACUGUGCAAA